AGUGAACGCUGGCGGUAGGCCUAACACAUGCAAGUCGAACGGCAGCACAGUAAGAGCUUGCUCUUACGGGUGGCGAGUGGCGGACGGGUGAGGAAUACAUCGGAAUCUACUUUUUCGUGGGGGAUAACGUAGGGAAACUUACGCUAAUACCGCAUACGACCUACGGGUGAAAGCAGGGGAUCUUCGGACCUUGCGCGAUUGAAUGAGCCGAUGUCGGAUUAGCUAGUUGGCGGGGUAAAGGCCCACCAAGGCGACGAUCCGUAGCUGGUCUGAGAGGAUGAUCAGCCACACUGGAACUGAGACACGGUCCAGCCUCCUACGGGAGGCAGCAGUGGGGAAUAUUGGACAAUGGGCGCAAGCUUGAUCCAGCCAUACCGCGUGGGUGAAGAAGGCCUUCGGGUUGUAAAGCCCUUUUGUUGGGAAAGAAAAGCAGCAGGUUAAUACCCCGCUGUUCUGACGGUACCCAAAGAAUAAGCACCGGCUAACUUCGUG
rnacentral:rRNA from 1 species